UCACUAAAAACUCCUGCCGCUCACAACU
rnacentral:sRNA from 1 species